GGGGAAGGCUCGUCCUCCCAGGGUAAGUCGGGACCUAAGCCGAGGCCGAGAGGCGUAGGCGAUGGAUAACAGGUUGAGAUUCCUGUACCAGUUAACUGCGUUUGACGAUGGAGGGACGUAGGAGGCUAAGCAAACCGUACGAUUGGAAGAGUACGGCCAAGCAGUAAGUCAGGAUGUGAGUCAAAUGUUUACAUCCGUGUUGACAAGCUGUGAUGGGGAGCGAAAUUUAAGUAGCGA
rnacentral:rRNA from 1 species